AUUGCACGCUGGCGGCAGGCCUAACACAUGCAAGUCGAGCGGAGCGGCGAACGGGUGAGUAAUGCCUAGGAAUCUGCCUGGUAGUGGGGGAUAACGUCCGGAAACGGGCGCUAAUACCGCAUACUAUCAGAUGAGCCUAUGUCGGAUUAGCUGGUUGGUGGGGUAAAGGCCUACCAGGGCGAAGAUCCGUCACUGGUCUGCGAGGAUGAUCCGUCACCCGGGAACGGAGACACGGUCCAGACGCCUACGGGAGGCAGCAGUGGGGAAUAUGGGACAAGGGGCGAAAGCCUGAUCCAGCCAUGCCGCGUGUGUGAAGAAGGUCUUCGGAUUGUAAAGCACUUUAAGUUGGGAGGCGUUACCAACAGAAUAAGCACCGGCUAACUUCGUGCCAGCAGCCGCGGUAAUUC
rnacentral:rRNA from 1 species